CCUCGAUCUGGGAGCAGACUUGGGUCUGGUUGCGGGGGAAAUGAGACGGUGUGGGGGGACAGUGAAUUAGUAGAAGCUCCUCCGAGAUGCGGAGGGAGAUAAAAAUAGCCCGCGGGCUGCGCUCGGAGGUCCUGGAAGCCCCAGAGCUCGCCGGCGACUGGCGUCCUAAUUUAUGGCACCCGGAGAAUCGAGCUCGGCGUGCGCCUCUCCUAGGCAGGUUGAGCUGCAGACUUGGCCUGAAUUAUUACUUGCGUGAAAUCCAAGAGCCCUCUCUUGGAGUCUGGAUUGGGACUCCUUUCCUGUAACACCAUGCUGGAAGCCAUUCUGGAAUGUUCUGGAAACAGAGUAAGCAAGGAGACAAGUGACAGAGCUGCUGCCACCACCUCCAUCAUCUCCAGCUGCCAGCCUGCCUGACUCCAUCUGCAGAGGAGAAACACGGCUGGAAGCGAGAGAGGCUGUUUUACUUUGUAUGCCCAGGUGUACCCAUGUAGCCACACUCACAAGAUGGGAAACUGGGGCCCAAGGAGGAGCAGGAUGUGUCAUGGGUCUCAUCAAGCAACUCAAUAAGGUCUCCUGGAUCCAAAGCGAUCUUCAUGUGGAGAUUUCCCAGGUUCCACCAAGCUCUGGCAGUCAAAGGUCUAUGGAAAGUUCAGGAAGGUGAGCUGCAUAUUCUUUUUAAGGUCUCUCCAGCUAAUACUGAGCCAGCAUGAGCCUGGACCACAGUUGCUAGCUUGGACCAAGGCAGCGCUUCAUAAUUUCUAGCAAAAUAAGUGUUUCCUACUUGGCAGGAGAGCAUUGCUCCACCACUCUGGGCACCUCUGGGUCUCUUUCAUUCCGCUGAGGCAUCAAGUACCUUGAGUACCCUAGCUUGGCUACUAAUAUCACCCAUCUAGACCUCAUCAGUCCCAGUCCCUGAAAAAGAAUAAAAAGAAAAGAAGACAAAAAGCAAGAAACAAGGAAUAUCAAACAAAGCACAAAAGGUUUCCCUUCUUUUACCCCAAACCGUGUCUCAAAAAUGGAUCUUAUUAAUGAAGUAUAUUUCUCUGUACUGACAUGACAGAUAAAUUAAGUGAUGAUAUAUUAAGUGAAGAAUUGGAAAAUGCCACACACUCUGCUCUAUCCACCUCCACUAUCUAAAAGUAUAUACCUAGAAAAAAAACACUGAGAAAAUAUGUCUUAGUCUGUGUCCUGCUACUGUAACAGAGUACCCCAGGCUGGGUAAUUUAUAAUGAACAGAAAUUUAUCUGGCUCAAGAUUCUGGAGGCUGGGAAGUCCAAGAUCAAGGGCCGGCAUCUUGUGAGGACCUUCUUGCUGUAUCAUAGCAUAGCAGAAGGCAUCACACAGAGAGAGAUAGAGAGAGUAAGAGAGGGCUGAACUCACUUUGAUAACAAACUCACUCUCACAUUAACAGCAUUAAUCUAUUCAUGAGGACAGAACCCUCAAGACCUAAUCAUCUCUUAAAGGUCCCAACUCUCAACUCUGUUGCAUUAAGAAUUAAAUUUCCAACACAUGAAUUUUGGGAGACACAUUCAAACCACAGCAAAGUAUUAACAAAAAAAAUGUUCCCGUUGAUGACAUCUGAGGGUAUGAUUACAGCGAAGGUUCUAUAUUGCCUAUUUCCAAAUGUUUUCAUUUAAGCAUUGCUUUUGUCAUCAGGAAUACUAGAGGGUUUGAAAAAGAAAAAGGGAUACUUUGUGUCUUGGCCAGUGUGAGAGGCCAGGAGGGCUGUAAGGAAGAGAUCUGGAGCAGGACAUUGGCCAGAGAGACCACCUGUCUGGGCUGGGGAAAUUCCAACCUUUGGACCAGAACUAAGUCUCCUGAAGCAGAAGGGAAAACUGAGUGAUAUUACAGAAUCCUGAGUCAUCUCUAUUCUUAAAGGAGUAUGUAUGUUUCUGAAUUCCUAACUUGAUGUUGUCGCUGGAAGCACACAUAAGGAACAGGUGCUACCCUUUCCCUCUAGAAAGGAGAGCCAGGUGGCCAGGGAGGGAGAGAGGUAGCAGUUUCACUUAUACUUUUUUGGUAGCUUUUGAGUUAUAAACCAUGCAAAGGUAUUACCUACUCUAAAAAUAAAUAAACUGUAAACAUGAGAAUAAAGUACUUUCAAAAUAGCACUGCUAAACCAGUGUUCAAAAUGCGAAGCAUAUAUGCAGCUGCAUGGAUAAACAGAGCCACUUGAAAACAGUGAAUUAAUUUUAAAAGGCUCACUAAGAAACAUUUGGAAAAUACAGAAAAAGAUUUAACAGUAUGCGUGUUUUGCUUAGUCUCAUCACUCAAAGAACACCAACAUUAAUAUGAUAGCUUAUUUCUUUCCAGCUUGUUUUCUGUAUUGGGGAGUUUUGCAUUGCUUUUGUUGGGGUCUGGAUCACUCUGCACUUAAAUUGUAUAAAUCACUUCUUAAAGAUCUAAGCAUGGAUAAAAGCUUACA